rnacentral:tRNA from 1 species
GCUUCUAAGGGAUAACAGCUCAU